GACUCUAGAGGAAUAUGAAAAGGUACUGGAGGAAAAACGAAAAGCUGUACUCUCCCUUAAGGCUAAGGAGAGAAAAGUUGAAAUUGACAAGGAGCUACAGGCCAUGCAACAACUGUCAGUUAAAAAGGAUGGCGAUGAAGUGUUUAUCAAGCUGGGCUCUGACAAGGACUUGAAAAAGAAAGAAA